CCGUCAAGCCAUGGAAGUUAGGAGGACCUGAAGACAGUUGCUGUAAGGCGCUGUUUAGGGUUAAACUGAUGACUGGGGCUAAGUCGUAACAAGGUAGCCGUACCGGAAGGUGCGGCUGGAACACCUCCUUU
rnacentral:rRNA from 1 species